GGAUGUAAGGGUGAUCUGGCUGCAACAUCUGUCACCCCACUGAUCGCCAGGGUUGAUUCGGCUGAUCUGGCUGCCUAGGCAGGUGUUCCCUUCCUCCCUCACCGCUCCAUGUGCGUCCCUCCCAAAGCUGUGUGCUCAGUCGAAGAGGACGACCUUCCCCCA
rnacentral:snRNA from 1 species